GACACCCCAUUUGAUUAUUUCUGCUGGCUCACAGGUUGCCUGAGGGAAGUGAACCCUGGAAAGGACUUCCUGCAGCCAGAUAAUCCAAUCCCAGCAGCCUCCCCUGUUAUCUCUUCUGGAUGUUUCUGGCUUCACUGUUGGAACCUGGAGCACUAGAUUUCACUGCUGGUUCCACAGAGAUAUCCUUGCUCACGUCCAGCUGAUGAGGAGCUCAGAGAACAUAGAUACUUCCAAUAGUCACCCAACAUUUAUUCCUGUGCAUUCCUGAGUACUCCCUAGCUAGGUCUCCUUAUGCAAAUUAUUUAUCAUCUGGGGCUUCAGUUUUCUUUUCUGUAAAAUGGGAUCAUUACAGCACACCCUUCACUGGGUUGCUCUGGGAAGUGACCUCAUGUAUAUCCGUGCUGUCACCCAUUCUGUCUACAUCACUUAGUACUUUAGUGGUGAAACAGAACCUAGGGUUUCACACUGAGGUACAAUCCUCCAUUCUUCUAGACUGCCACGACCACCCCAGGAAGCUCAAAGCUCACGAGUACUUAAGCAACUUUGAUAUUUGGGAGAGCACUACCCCAAAUUUUACCCCAUGGAAUGCUGAUUCAACAGAACUUUUACAGAAGACAAAAGUCAACCCGACAAACAGGAUCUUAGAAAGUGCUGUGGUGACUCUACCCUUGUGAAUAGUUCUCAGCUUGGAGACUUUCUCAUCUGGGAAGCCCCUCCUCACUACCUGUACCCAUCCCAAGUCCUCUCAGCACUUCUAAGGCCAGUUGCCAGCAAUUACCACAUGCCACUUGUUGGCAAUAUGCCUAUAAAUCAAGUGGACUCCUCUGAUGGAAGAGUGGGCCUCAUGUGCACAUGGAGGCUUGUAUACCACCACUCUUCCCUGGGACAUCAGAGCCAUGGUCAGCCUGUCAACCAGCCUUAUCUCCUCCAACAGUUUCAUCAGUCACCCUCUCUUCAGUUGCUGGUAAACUUGUACAUAUUUUA